rnacentral:rRNA from 1 species
UGGGGAAUCUUGGACAAUGGGGGCAACCCUGAUCCAGCCAUGCCGCGUGAGUGAUGAAGGCCUUAGGGUCGUAAAGCUCUUUCGCCUGUGAAGAUAAUGACGGUAGCAGGUAAAGAAACCCCGGCUAACUCCGUGCCAGCAGCCGCGGUAAUACGGAGGGGGUUAGCGUUGUUCGGAAUUACUGGGCGUAAAGCGCACGUAGGCGGAUCGGAAAGUUGGGGGUGAAAUCCCGGGGGCUCAACCCCGGAACUGCCUCCAAAACUAUCGGUCUAGAGUUCGAGAGAGGUGAGUGGAAUUCCGAGUGUAGAGGUGAAAUUCGUAGAUAUUCGGAGGAACACCAGUGGCGAAGGCGGCUCACUGGCUCGAUACUGACGCUGAGGUGCGAAAGUGU